rnacentral:lncRNA from 1 species
UGUAAUCCAACUGAGGUUUUAAUUAUAAGAACAUUAACAAAAACAUUCCUGCUAAAUGAAAGAAAGUAAUGAACAAAGCCUCUAAUCCAUAAAACUCCUUACAAUUUCUCACAUUAUACAUUAUUUUUUGUACCAUGCCAAUCAAUGACACAAGGAUAUAUAUAUAUAUAUAUAGAGAGAGAGAGAGGGUGGCCUUUUUGCUAGCUCUUCCUUUAAAUGAUAGAAGACAUAACAUGAAGUAAAAGGGCACAGUGCCCUCUUCUACUUGUUACCCUAUAAAAAAUUCUGGGCUUAGCUUAGAUUGAUCUUUUCUUCUAUCUUUUCACAGUAUCCCACCAGUUCUUCACCCUUAAUGAAGCCAGCCUAAAAUGAGCUUCAAGUUCCCACAAGUUUAAAGAGUAAAGAAGACGAUUGAAAGUUAAAAAAAAAAAAAAAAAGACGGUAGAGAGAGAAGACACCCAUGUAUCCUAUCUGUUAGUAAGGAAGAAAUGCAAACCAAGUCACCCACCUUAAGAACUUAUGAUAAAGUUAAAAAAAAAAUCCAAAAAAAAUAAAAAACCCCAAAUCAUUUUCU